rnacentral:rRNA from 1 species
CACAGACAACCAGGAUGUUGGCUUAGAAGCAGCCACUCAUUCAAAGAGUGCGUAAUAGCUCACUGGUCGAGUGAUCCUGCGCCGAAGAUUUCCGGGGCUAAAACUUACUACCGAAGCUACGGCAUCAGUAAUGAUGGGUAGGGGAGCUUCCCAUACGGGUUGAAGCAUGACCGUAAGGACAUGUGGACAGUAUGGGAGGGAGAAUGUUGGCAUGAGUAGCGAGAUGUGGGUGAGAAUCCCACAGGCCGUAAACCCAAGGUUUCCAGGGGAAGGUUCGUCCGCCCUGGGUUAGUCGGGACCUAAGCUGAGGCCGAAAGGCGUAGGUGAUGGACAACAGGUUGAUAUUCCUGUACUACCGAUAAC